rnacentral:rRNA from 1 species
GAUCAUGGCUCAGGAUGAACGCUAGCUACAGGCUUAACACAUGCAAGUCGAGGGGCAGCAUGAACUUAGCUUGCUAAGUUUGAUGGCGACCGGCGCACGGGUGAGUAACACGUAUCCAACCUUCCCGUUACUCUGGAAUAGCCUUUCGAAAGAAAGAUUAAUACCGGAUAGUAUCGAGAGAUUGCAUGAUUACCCGAUUAAAGAUUCAUCGGUAACGGAUGGGGAUGCGUUCCAUUAGG